AUGAACGCUGGCGGCGUGCCUAAUCCAUGCAAGUCGAGCGAACAGACGAGGAGCUUGCUCCUCUGACGUUAGCGGCGGACGGGUGAGUAACACGUGGAUAACCUACCUAUAAGACUGGGAUAACUUCGGGAAACCGGAGCUAAUACCGGAUAAUAUAUUGAACCGCAUGGUUCAAUAGUGAAAGACGGUUUUGCUGUCCCUUAUAUAUGGAUCCGCGCCGCAUUAGCUAGUUGGUAAGGUAACGGCUUACCAAGGCAACGAUGCGUAGCCGGCCUGAGAGGGUGAUCGGCCACACUGGAACUGAGACACGGUCCAGACUCCUACGGGAGGCAGCAGUAGGGAAUCUUCCGCAAUGGGCGAAAGCCUGACGGAGCAACGCCGCGUGAGUGAUGAAGGUCUUCGGAUCGUAAAACUCUGUUAUUAGGGAAGAACAAAUGUGUAAGUAACUAUGCACGUCUUGACGGUACCUAAUCAGAAAGCCACGGCUAACUACGUG
rnacentral:rRNA from 1 species